UCGUGUAUUGUUGCAGGUGGCCAGGUCAACUUGAUUGCACUUAUUUUGUAGCUGUUCGUUUAAUUCUUUGUGCAAAUAUUAAUUCGCCGUUGGUGAAUCUGCAGUUGCAUGCUGAAAGAAACUCAUCCGCUGUAUGUGAAAUGUCACAUGACCUCACCCAGAAAACUGAGUACUGGACUUCCUUCAUACGGUGUUAGAUGUUGCCCAUGCCAUAGAAGCCCCCCGAGGACCAGGCAAUUCCCAUCUUCUUUGGUGAGAUUGUUACAAGCUGAUGUGAAAAUCUGCCUGCUCCUUUGUGCUGCUGACUUAUAGCCACCGCAGGAGGCUGAUUCAUCUUUUAUGUCCCCUAGGACACCAUCCGCGCUUUUAAACUUCAACUGGAUAUGCUUGAUUUAUGGCAAGAAGUUAUUUGACGCUCUAAGACAGAAGUGGACUUUAGUUUCAUAGUAACAUUGGUUCACAUGAAUUCACUUGUCUAUUUUUGACUCCCGGGUGCAACGCCGUUGAUCGGGAGCUUUUUAGUUGGUCAAACAGGAAGCGGAGGAAUUAGAUUCAACGUGUCGGGCUCCGUUUUCAAACCAAGGAAGUGUUCAAAGUAAGCAAAAGCGUCCGCUGAAAUGCUUGAUUUUAGCACCGAUUUACAACCCUGACGUUGCUAACGAUGUCUUUUAAUGAGCAGCUCAAGUUUCCAUUGGUUUAUGGAGCAUGCUGACUGACAGGUCCAUCGAUGGAGAAAUAAAGCAUGUGAAUGAGCAGUUGGAUCUUGGCCUUCUUUUCCAUAUCAGUACAACCCUAAUGUAUCGACUAAACUUUGAAGUGUCCUAAUGGUCCGCACGGUCCUUUAACCGUGCAGGCCUCUAUUAAGGAUGUCAGUGGAGCCUAGCUGGGGCAGUGUGACCCAUUAGCUUUAAUGAGAGCCGUGCAGGGCACAGCGGGCCGCUCUUCUUGCCCUCUACGACUGUUUAUUUAUGUCACCUACCCGCAUUUUGGAGUACUCAGGCUUUUAAGUUGCGUGGGUAUUACUCUAGGGUUUGGGAUUUUAUUUCCUCUGAUCACGGCAAACUCAAUCUUGCUAAAUUUCGUUAAGUUUGCUAAAUUUGAAUUUGGGUCAUGGUGAUGCACAA